GGUUCGAUGGCGUAGUUGGUUAUCGCAUCUGUCUAACAUUGGUGGAAUAUCAACAUUGGGUUAUACACAGAAGGUCCCCAGUUCGAGCCUGGGUCGAAUCA